GGCCUGGCUGGCCGGUCCGCCUCACCGCGUGCACUGGUCCGGCCGGGCCUUUCCUUCUGGCUAGCCGCAUGCUCUUCACUGAGUGUGUCGGGGAACCAGGACUUUUACUUUGAGAAAAUUAGAGUGUUCAAAGCAGGCUUUCGCCCGAAUACAUUAGCAUGGAAUAAUAGAAUAGGACGC
rnacentral:rRNA from 1 species